AGCGUUUUCCUAUCUGAAGCCCAUGCACGACUGAACUUAAGGAACAAAGUGCUUAAAGAAGAUGUGCUGAUUGCAGCCUUACUAUUUGAAACAUCCCUCACAUUGAAAUACGGGGCCACUGUAUUUUGUGUUGCUCCAAAUGCAGUAUUUCCAUUUGAACUGUAUAAUGAAGAAUACUUAGAGCAAAGGGAUCUCUAUCUGACUCAGUGCCAACAACAGCUGGAACAAUUUAUUGCCACAUAUGGACCUGGGACAACUAUUUUCUCUAGUGAUGAAUAAGCAAUUUGAGGAAUUUUUGUUCAUUCCUACUUAAGCAGUGGAGAAAAAGUGUGACUAUUUUGAGAGUGACUUUGAAGUAAUGCUUUGAUAAUACUCUGUACAGGAAUAUAUUACAAUACUGUUUUUAAAAAUAUAAAAUAUAGUCCCCUCAAAACUAAUUGCUAAUGGGAUAAAUACUAAUCCAAACCUCUAAAACCAACAGAAUUUUAA
rnacentral:lncRNA from 1 species